GGACGUGUUAUGCGCACGCAUUGACUGAAACGCAAAAACUUUAUUUUUUAUUGUUUUCACUUUUUUUCUUCCCACAAAAUGUGAUGUAGCUAUUAUUUUAAAAUUUCAGUGAAAGGCGCGCUGUGCAGUUGGGUUAUCUUAUUGUUUACAGUAAUUUAAUUGAACUUAUUGUCAAUAUAAUUAGCCAUUUCCUAAUCGAGCAGAGGACUGGGUCUAGUCGCUUAUUUGGAGGGACAAAAAAUAAACAAUACGCCGAAUAUGGCAUCUAGGAAGUUUUCCCACAUUCCUAAAGUUAUUUGUGCAGCCCGAAACGCAACAAUUAUAUAAGACAUCUUUUAUUAUAUAUUUAGCUCGCUCACUAUAACAUGUUAAUUGUGCAUCCAAACAUCAACUAGGCCCAGUCCUCUGCUCGAUUGGGAAAUUAAUUAGCCAUAAUUACUCAAACCUGCAGAUGUAACUCUAAAAAGUUACAAAAAAAAUGAUAGUAACCGCUUUUUUACUGGUUCCAGUUUAUGUAGAGUAUUUAAUACUCGACAUGAAAUACAGUCGAACCCCUAUAAGCGGACACCUCUCUUAAGCGGACACCUCUUUUAAGCGGACACAUAUCUCGGGUCCCAUUCGUUUUCUUUAAUAAAAUACUAUUAUCAUAACCCCUAUUAAGCGGACACCCCUCUUUAACGGACGCGGACACCUUACUUCGCACAAUUUCGAAGUUUGGAAGAACUUUACAACGUCAUUUUUAUGUAAAUGACAUUAUAAUGGGCUAUAGUCUGUGUGAGCCUCGAAAGCAAACUUGUAUUGAUUCCUUUUUUAUAUGACUGUGAGCUAGGGACGUAUACAUUUUCCAAUGACCUUUUUUUAUGCACAAACACAUUUUCAUUUUAUCUAAUUAUUUGCUAGAUAUUUUUUACUGUUUUGAUACUCAAAUUACACACCUUUGCCUCCUGCUGCGUUUUUCUACAUACCCCUUUUAAGCGGACACCCCUUUUAAACGGACACUUAGGCGAGGUCCCGAAGGUGUCCGCUUAAUUGGGGUUCGACUGUAGUUAAUUAUUUUCAUUACAGCAACUUUUAUAACAAUUUUUUCUAUUCUAAAUUAGUUUUGGUCACUCGUCAUUCGUGGUAAUCUCUAAGAUAUUUUAAUACUUAUACAUUAAUUUAGGAAAAUGACGAGUUCCAAAAAAUAAGAUCCAAGAUUCCUAAAAUCUUGAUACACAUUAAGACAGCCUAGUCCCAGUCGUUCUGAAGCAAGCGCGAGAAAAAACGUGGAUGCAGUACGAGACUGGGACCUAGGUGUGACGUCAUCGCUAAAGGUGCUUCAGAACGCCUAGCAGAUUUCAGUAUUUUUAAUGUGGCGGAAAAUUAUAUACAGCUAUUUCAAUUAAGGUUGUCCACGAGCAAAGCGGAAAAGUCGAAUACGAGCGCGAAAGGCUGCUGGGAAUCGUUAACAAAUUAAUGAAUUUUCAAAGCGAUUCCCAGCAGCCUUUCGCGCUCGUAUUCGUCGUUUCCGCUUUGCUCGUGGACAACAUUAAUUGAAAUAGCUGUAUACAAAUAACCUUGACUGUAUUGAAAAUGUGCUCAAUUAAAAAAAUUUAUAUACAAAUUUACGAUACUGAGUCUGAGCAAUGGUCGUAUAAUCGUUGAUGUUAUUUAUCUACUCGCAAGUUGUGAUCAACACUAGACCAUACUGGUAUACACAACUACGCUUUCUACUUGACAGUUUUAAGUAGCUGAGGAGAUUGGAAAUAUUAGCCUGACAUGACUGUGUUGUCAAAACAUUUUUAGUCGGAGACUCGGCAUAAUUUUCAAGUUUCUAGAUAGCAUUUACUAUGGCUUUAUAUUUUAGUAAACACGAGUCAGAUUUAGUAGCCUUAGGCCCGGUUCAUACGUCGUACUUCACAUGUGCCGAAUACAUUAAAGACAAUAGGUAAUGAGUUGAAAUGACUCAUUAUCUAUUGUUUUUAAUGUAUUCGGUAUACAUGUGAAGUACGGCGUAUGAAACGGGCCUUAGAAACGUAGCCUAUUUCAUUGUUCCGACAGCAUUAGAGCAAAACUAAUGACUUAAUUAUAAACGCAAAGGAAAUUUCCAUACCAUUUUCUAUUUACGGUAUGCUUGGUAACCAGGCCAGGGACCAUUUUAGCGAAAUCUGCUAGGCUCUCUCGCUGAAGCGUUCCGCACAGUACACCCAGGCAUAAAACUUUUAAGAUUUAUUUAAAUAUAUCAAAGCAGCGAAUAGAGAGAAAGCCUGGGACUAGGCUGAUAUUAAGGCAAUUUUCCAUUGCAGUCGCUUUGCCCGCGCGGGCAGACCGGGCUUUGAAAAUCCGCUCACGCGGGCGUGACGAGUGUCGAAAACAACAAACGCUUCGCCCGCGCGGGCUGAGCGAACGUUAAUGGCAACGGCCUUUAUAGUAUAGUAUAGUAAUUCUUCAAAUUUUACGGUAUUUGUUUUUACUUUUUAAUAUGGUAUUUCAGUUUUCCACGACACUGUUGAAGUCAUUUUGUCUUGCAGGCAAAUACCAUGGUGAGAAACUGUUCGUAGCUAACUGUUAUCCAGCCAUUCAAGUUGUAAUCAUGUUGUUUGAAAGCAUUUGUCAAAGUCUAAAAAGUUGGAGAAAUGAGUACGAGUAUUAUUGUGAUAUA